AUAAUUAAUGGUGUGAUAACUAUGGUUAAUGGUCACAAAAAUUAACUUCUGAGUUUUGUUUAGUUCUUUUCUCUUAUGUAAUUAGGAUAGUAGCCUUGUUUGGUUAAUUGCUUAACUGUGUUAAUGCUUGUUUGGCUGUCUGCAUGGUUAUGAGCAAAGAGAUGCUUAGCUUUUGGAUCAUAUAUAAUAACUAAUUUCAGUUCUUAGUUUGUCUUCAUAAAAUUUAAAUUAUUGGUUCUUAUUUGAGUAAUAAUGAACUUAUAUGGUAAUAUAUAUGCGUAGCCGUCUCUCGAGAAACUUCCUCAAUAGUUCCAUACCUUCAUCUUUGGGGAAUUUGUCGUCCCUCGAAUAUCUGAGUUUGUCGUAUAAUAAGUUAUCAAGUCAAAUCCCUAAAGAAUUGGGCAACCUCUCUAAUCUCCUAUAUAUGUACUUGGACUUCAAUGAACUCACUGGUCAGCUUCCACCAGAACUUGGAAGAUUGGGAUCUCUUGGUUAUUUAGGGUUGAGCUCCAACAAUUUGAAUGGACAACUGCCGGGAAAUUAUUCCAACUUUACGAAAUUGCAGUGGUUGUAAGUGCAGCUCAUCAUAUUCUUUCAACCAACAAUCUGUUUAAUUAUUGUUCCAAGGAAAAACAACUAACUAUGGCUGCAGUAGCGUAGCUGGGUACCGUUUGACCGGUCAAAUACCAAGUUUCAUUACGAAGUGGACUGAACUCAAUAGGCUGUCCCUCUCCGGAAAUGAUUUUGAAGGAGAGUUUCCUCUUGAAAGUAUUUUUAACUUGCAAUAUCUCCGAUACUUGUUUGUUAGUGAUGUAAAUAGCUCCGGUUUCCCUUUCCCAAAAAAUGCAAAUAUGAAGAAAAUAAGAUACCUGUGAGUUUUUCCUUCCUUUGCUUUUCUUUAAAGCUCACACUAAGGGCAAAAGCUCACAUGCAUAACUAACUUGAGAUUUGUAAUUAAAAAGGAAAAAAGAAAAGAAAAGAAGAAUGUCUGAAACUUCCUUAAUACAGCAACUUUAACAUUGCUAUAGUACUUAAUUUGGAUACCACCUAAUCGGUCAAUGGAUGAGGAGUAAGCCAAUGAGCUAUGGCAUGAAUUCAAAUUGUGGUUGUAGUUGUAUAAAGAUUAAUUUCACAUUGAAUAAUAAAAACCAUACAGAGAAUUAUAUUUGUCUAGGAGCGUUAUUGUUGUAGAAUUUGGAUUCUGACCGGUCUUUUACAUAAAUAUUUUUUUAGGCCUAUUUUUCUUUAUAUGAUCUUGAGUUUUUUUUAUGAGCUAUUACAUGCAGUGAAGACUAGUUGUAUCUGAGAUUCAGGUUUGAGAAUUUUUUAAAAAAUAUGUAUAUAUUAAUUACGAUUAUUUAUGUAUGUGACUUAAUGAUAUUCUCAAUAGAUAUGUACGUGACUCUUAAUGAUAUGGAUGCAUUGGAUAAAUCCAAACGCCAACUUCUUCAAUGGUUUGUGUAGGAUGAUAAGGAAUUGCUCAAUAAGUGGUGAAAUCCCCCCGUACAUUGGUGAUUGGUCAAGGUUAACAUAGCUAGACUUGAGCUUUAACAACUUAACUGGUGGAAUACCAGAUUCCAUGAAAAAGCUGAAUUUAAGUAAGAUGUAUGCAAAAGAGAUUUCUUGAACUCGAUGUCUUAUAAUAAGUUCGUUCUGCCACUCUGUUAAAAAGUACAUGGGAUGGUUUUCAUACUGGUUUGUUUUGUUUAGGUUUCUCACAGGAAAUAUGCUUAAUGGCACAGUACCUUCCUGGGUUCCUGAUACCAUUAAAGACAAGGCGUAUGUUAUGGCUUUGUGCUCUUUGCUCAGAUGGGUUGUUUUCCCUUUUGUAGAUUUCCUCAAUAAAAUCUUGAUAUGUAAACAAUAAU